AGUGAACGCUGGCGGUAGGCCUAACACAUGCAAGUCGAGCGGCAGCACAGUAAGAGCUUGCUCUUACGGGUGGCGAGUGGCGGACGGGUGAGGAAUACAUCGGAAUCUACUUUUUCGUGGGGGAUAACGUAGGGAAACUUACGCUAAUACCGCAUACGACCUACGGGUGAAAGCAGGGGAUCUUCGGACCUUGCGCGAUUGAAUGAGCCGAUGUCGGAUUAGCUAGUUGGCGGGGUAAAGGCCCACCAAGGCGACGAUCCGUAGCUGGUCUGAGAGGAUGAUCAGCCACACUGGAACUGAGACACGGUCCAGACCCCUACGGGAGGCAGCAGUGGGGAAUAUUGGACAAUGGGCGCAAGCCUGAUCCAGCCAUACCGCGUGGGCGAAGAAGGCCUUCGGGUUGUAAAGCCCUUUUGUUGGGAAAGAAAAGCAGCAGGUUAAUACCCCGCUGUUCUGACGGUACCCAAAGAAUAAGCACCGGCUAACUUCGUG
rnacentral:rRNA from 1 species